rnacentral:rRNA from 1 species
GACGAACGCUGGCGGCGUGCUUAACACAUGCAAGUCGAACGAUGAUGCCAGCUUGCUGGUGGAUUAGUGGCGAACGGGUGAGUAACACGUGAGCAACCUGCCCCUGACUUCGGGAUAACCGCGGGAAACCGUGGCUAAUACCGGAUAUGACGCGCUAUCGCAUGGUGGUGUGUGGAAAGAUUUAUCGGUUGGGGAUGGGCUCGCGGCCUAUCAGCUUGUUGGUGGGGUGAUGGCCUACCAAGGCGACGACGGGUAGCCGGCCUGAGAGGGUGACCGGCCACACUGGGACUGAGACACGGCCCAGACUCCUACGGGAGGCAGCAGUGGGGAAUAUGGCACAAUGGGCGCAAGCCUGAUGCAGCGACGCCGCGUGAGGGAUGACGGCCUUCGGGUUGUAAACCUCUUUCAGUAGGGAAGAAGGCCUUCGGGUUGACGGUACCUGCAGAAGAAGCGCCGGCUAACUACGUG